AUGGCAGUUGACCGCGCCGACAAGGAGAAUUUGCCGCCAGCGGCCGCCGUCGCCUGUCCUCAUGGCGUGGCUGUCAGGAGCUGCAAGCUGAAGCGGCUCGGCAGGUCGCGGAGGCGGGUGCCGCUCAGGGACAUCACCAACCUCUUCGCCGUGGAGUCCGCGGUUGCCCAGUGGCAGCAGGCCCUGCUCCAGCAGCCGCGCGAGGGGUCGGCGACGGCAGAGCCGGCCGUGAAGAACGGGCUGGCCGGUCCUGUGCUGAAGGCCGGCAGAUACUCUCUCCGGAAGGAGUUUAGAUAG
rnacentral:rRNA from 1 species